rnacentral:tRNA from 1 species
GGGGCCGUAGCUCAGUCGGGAGAGCGCUUGAAUGGCAUUCAAGAGGUCAGGGGUUCGAUUCCCCUCGGCUCC